rnacentral:rRNA from 1 species
GACGAACGCUGGCGGCGUGCUUAACACAUGCAAGUCGAACGAUGAACUUGGAGCUUGCUCUGGGGGAUUAGUGGCGAACGGGUGAGUAACACGUGAGUAACCUGCCCUGGACUCUGGGAUAACUUCGAGGAAUCGGAGCUAAUACCGGAUAGGACCUUGCACCGCAUGGUGUGGGGUGGAAAGUUUUUCGGUUUGGGAUGGACUCGCGGCCUAUCAGCUUGUUGGUGAGGUAAUGGCUCACCAAGGCGUCGACGGGUAGCCGGCCUGAGAGGGUGACCGGCCACACUGGGACUGAGACACGGCCCAGACUCCUACGGGAGGCAGCAGUGGGGAAUAUUGCACAAUGGGCGCAAGCCUGAUGCAGCAACGCCGCGUGAGGGACGACGGCCUUCGGGUUGUAAACCUCUUUUAGCAGGGAAGAAGCGAAAGUGACGGUACCUGCAGAAAAAGCACCGGCUAACUACGUGCCAGCCGCCGCCGUAAAAC